rnacentral:lncRNA from 1 species
AUAACACUUCUAGAGGGCCCACGAGCCCAGGAAAGCGGGGAACUGCCAACUCCAGGUAGACAGCAUUCAUGAACUCGUCAUUUGGGUGCUUUUCAAAUUAAUGAUCAUGGUAAUGGAACACCUGAGAGGGAUUUAGAUGACUCAUUUUUAUAGAAGAAAGUGUCCCACGUUAAUAGCUCUGUCCAGGAUGAACUCUGCAAAGAGGGCACUCAGUAUAUGGGCGGCAAGGAGAACCAUGCCUUGAUUGUGAAAAGCAGUGCCCUUGAUUCAGCUCUGGAACUC